ensembl:lncRNA
AUGCCAGGACCCCAAAACUUUUUGGGACAACACCACGACCCCAAAACCUUUGGUGCCAACCCCACAACUCUGCAGGCACAACCCUCAAGGGUGCACCCCCGUUACGGCAGGGCCAGGAGCUACUGGCAUUGUGGAGAAUUCCAUUCCCCUUCCUGGGGAGUGUCCGUCCUGUUCUCUGGCCCAUUCCGCUGUCUGGCCCAUCCUGCUGUCUGUCCAUCCCACUGUCCAGCCUGUCCCUACUAUCUGGCCCAUCCUGUUGUCCGGCCUGUCCUGUUGUCUGGCCCAUCCCAUUUUCCAGCCCAUCCCGUUGUUCAGUCUGUCCCAUUAUCCAGCCUGUCCUGUUGUCUGUCCAUCCCGUCCCAUUGUCUGGCCCAUCCCAUUGUCCGACCUGUCCCGUUCUCUGGCCCAUCCCCCUGUCCAUGUGUUCUGCUCUCUGGCCCGUCCUGCUGUCCGUCCAUCCUGCUGUCUGGCCUGUCCCAUUGUGUGGCCCAUCCCAUUUUCCAGCCUGUCCCACUGUCCUCCCUGUCCCAUUAUCUGGCCCAUCCCAUUUUCAGGCCCAUCCCAUUGUCCGGCCAAUCCCAGUAUCCAUCUGUCCCGCUAUCUGGCUUGUCCCGCUGUCCAUCCGUCCCGCUGUCCAUCCAUCUGUCCCACUGCCCAUCUGUCCGUGCGUCCAUCCAUCCAUCCUGCCGUCCGUCCGUGCGUCCAUCCGUCCCUACUGCCCGGUGCCGUAGGGCCAGUUGAAGGUGCUGCCGGACAGCAGCAUGUCGCGGAUCAGGGUCUCGAUGGGCGUCUUGCCCACCAGGCGCAUGAAGAAGAGCUGUGAGAUGAGGGCGGCGGGCACGGCGCGCAGCGCGGGCAGCCGCAGCAGGAGCCGCCCGAAGCGCUGCGGCUGUGACGGGAACUGCGAGCGCUCGUACUCGGUCAGCGCCACCUGCGCCUUCUCCUGCAGCGUCUCCACGUGCGCCGGGUCCGACAGCCCGCAGGCGUCUGCAAGGGAACAGAGAGGGUUUCGAUGUGUGGGGUGGCAUGGGAUCUGUUGGGAAUGUCCCCAAAUCCAAUAUCCCCAAAAUCCAUUGGGAAUAACCCCAAAUCCAUUGGAAACAGCCGAAAAUCCAAUAUCACAAAACCCACUGGGGAUAUCUCCAAAUCCGUUCGGAAUAACCUCAAAUCCAUUGGGAAUAUCCCCAAGAGAAUAUCCCAAAAGGCAGUAUCCCCAAAUCCAUUGGGAAUAUCCUCAGAUCCAAUCUCCCAAAAUCCAUUGGGAAUCUCUCAAAAUCUAUUGGGAAUAUCCCAAAAUCCAAUAUCUCAAAAUCCAUUUGGAAUAUCCCAAAAUUUAAAGAAAUAUCCUGAAAUUUAUAGGGAAUAUCCCCAAAUCCAUUGAGAAUAUCCCCAAAUCCAUCAGGAAUCUUUCAAAAUCUCAAGUCCCCAAACCCUCAGAAAAACCCGCAAAAACCUUUCCCUGUUCAUUCCCAAAUUCAGAUGGACCCAACCACCAGCUCUUGGAAAAACACAGGAAAACCUCUCCUUACUCACUCCCAGAACCCCCAAACC